UCCAUUGUAGCUAAGUGGGUAAAGAAUCUGCUUGCAAUGCAGGAGAUCUAGGUUCACUUCCUGGGUUGGGAA
rnacentral:tRNA from 1 species